rnacentral:lncRNA from 1 species
CCUCUGCAGACCUCAGGUUUUCCCAUCUAUAAACUGAGCAAGUUGGGCUGGAUAAUCCCGGUGGUCCUUUGCAACUCAGAAUGCCUUGAGUCCUCAAGCUAUAAACAUAUUCAAAGGAAGGGGUUCAUAAUUUUUAGGGCUUAAUGUCGUAGGAUCUGGUGCUCAGUAGCACUUUGUCUUGGCUGAACAUUGAAGGUUGCAUAAUAAUCCUUAGGCAGUUUUAGUACUAAUAAACAGAGAUCAGAUUUUUCCAGUAAACUUUACCAGGUGAGUGGUCUACCUCCUGGAUGAAUGUCAGAGAGCUGUGGUAGCAUGGCAAAUAAAAUAGAGGCUUUGGUGGGAUUCCAACCUAGGUUCAAAUUCUGGCUCUUCCAGAUUUCUCUUCUGUAACAUGAAGAUAGACAGUGAAGUCUAUCUCCCGGGAUUCCUCCGCCCUACCAUCUCCCAUUCAAACAGGUGCCAAACAACUUAGGUUAGGCUGCAAUUCAUCUGUUAGGAUCCUUAUUAUCCACCCUAAUAUAAUUAGAAUUAUGAAACUUGGUUAUUAUGUUAAUGAGCAUUCACAUUCUUCUCUGGCUGCCUCCAAUUCUCCUGCUGCCACUGGCAGACAGGCUAACGCAAAGGUAUUUAGUUUUCAGAAGAGAUAAAGUCCUCAUAGUUUGGAGUUCACAGAGGACACAAUUCCCUUCUUCAUACAGGCCUUUGUUUUUAAUUAAGAGCAGUAAUCAGAUAAUCUUGCUUUAAUUAGCUCCCCAGAAGCAACCCAUUCUUGGAGCCUGUCUUUGAUAUUUUCUACAUCAAGUCUUUCAGCCUAAGAUUAUCUGCAGACAUGCACCAGACAUUUGCCAUUUGCCAAAUAUGCCCAAAAGUUUAGCAUAAACUCCCACUCCCUUCUUUUUGUAAAGACAACCCCUGCAUCAAAGCAAACACGUUUUGAGUCAGGAAGCGGUUGUCUGGGUUUGCUCCGUGAGUCUGUGAUUUUUCCAGUCUUAUCAUAUUGGGCCUUCUGUUCACAAAAACUGUGAGCAUCUCAUCUUAAUUAUGCAUAUCUUAAUCCAUAAUUUCUGACUUAUGGCCAUUAACUCCUAAUUACAAGAGGGCCACCCUUGAAAAGGGAAACCAAGUGAGCUCAGAGAAAUGGAGCUGAAAAGCAAGAAGGAAGAUGGAUGAUAGAAACUGUGCAACUAAGGGUGAAUCCAAAGGCCCAUUUAUUGGAGGCGGUUGUUGUUGGCAAUUCUGUAGAUUUGUGAGGCUCCCAUAUCAGGCCACACCUGAAUUCAUCCCUUUCUGUGGUAAGGAAAUUAUAAAAUUAAAAAUAAAGCUAAAAUUUGAAUAAAGCUAAAAUCUCCAGGUGAUAAAUCAUCUGGCCCAAUUUCUUUAUAAUGACUUUCCAUUAAAAAAGCUUAAGUGAAUAUGUUUAUUAAAAAUUUUUUGAACCUGUAAUUACCCAUAAAUGGAAAAAAGAGUAUGAUGUGCCUUAAGUAGAAGGCAACUAUAACAACUAUUACUAUUUUUUAAAAUGUUCACCCUGUGCUAUUUAAAAAUCUGGAAAACCAUGCUCUGGAGAGGACUGCAUUAGGUCCUCAUUGCUUCAACCAUUUGGAUCAGUAAAUAAAAUUAUAUUCCAUGUAUUGCAGAUGAGGAAGUAGAAGCUCAGAGAGGGUAAAGGAUCUGCCUAAAGUCACACAGCUAGGAAGUGGCAGAGUUAUACCCCAGACUUUCAGGACCAUGCUUGUUUUUGCCUAUGCCAGAGACAAUGAAAGACUUGAACAACAACUUUCAAAGUCUGAGAUUCUUCAAGCUAUUAGCCAUCCAGAGGCAGCAAGGAGAUACUCUUACCUGGGGCUGAGGAUGCGGCUGCUGGUGGCUGACUGUCGAGAAGGAGUCCUCAUAGUAUCUGUGGCCAGGGACAGAGUACAGCUCAACCAGGACUGCAGGCUGCCCUCUGGCUGGGAGCUGAGGAUGGAGACGUUAUCCCUAGAAUAAGAUUGCAGGACACCAUCAGCACAAUGACAAUCACAGUAACAGCAAUAAUUAGAUAUUCACCCAUAGCAUAAGCCAGGCAUUGUGCUAAGUGAUAUACCUGCAUAACCUCACUCGCCAUCCCAGAGAGGUAGGAGCCAGUGCUGUCACAGUUACACAGAUGGAAUUACUGAGAUUUGGAGAGGCCAAUUUGGGUCUUGGCCAAGGUCACCCAGCUAGUCAAUGAUGAAAUUGGGAUGCAAACCCUGUUCCUUUUUAUUCCAAUGCCCAUGCUAUUAAUCAUGGCACUCUUCCUUGGGGAGAUACACACUCCACUACAAAUGUUGAGGUCUCUCCAAUUUAGGAGUAAAGUUUGGCAUUGAAUUUGAUGUGUUCAAGGAAUAUAUCAAGUGUGAAGGUCUUAACUCCUUCCUUACCUUAUCUGGAUCAUCUUUAAAACAGGGACUCUACUUUUAUGUCCCCUGAUUCUGAAAGCGGCACAGAAAGAGAGGGGGUCGUCACAGGUCCUCAAUGAGACCACGUAAGUUGAUAUACUCAUUCAACAUUAUGUAUAUGUGUGUGUAUAUGUAUGUGUGUAUAUUUAUUAAUAUUAUUUAUAUGUGUGUAUGUGUAUAUAUAUUAUAAUAUAUAGUUUUUUAAUAGGACGCUCUAUUUAUGCCAAGCACCAGUUCUUGUCCACAUGAACUUAACAUUGACCCUGUCCCUCAAGACCCCAUCUCUAUAAAUAACAAUAAAAUUUUUAAAAAUUAUUAAUAUUUUAUAGAGGGACAGAGGGUAGGUUUUACUAGAACCUGCUCUCUGUCCCUCUAUAAAGCAUUAGUAAUGGUAGGUUCUAAUAAAACCUACCCUCUGUGCCUCUAUAAAGCAUUAAUAAUUUUUUCUUUCAAAGAGGGAGCCUUGAUUUGCUUCUUGGAGGCCUAAGGAAAGACAUCAAGUAGUGAAAGUUGAGCUACAUCUUCUUUGAAGGUUAGGGUUUGGCCACGCAGGGACUGAAGAACGGAAUUUUGGGUGGAAGGAAUCACGUACACAUAGGUACGGAGGUCAUAAAGGUCGGGGCAUAAACAAUAUGGAAACCAGAAAUCACAGUUGGAGGGGAAGGCAAGGGUCUGAAUGUGCAGAAUACAAACAUCAGUGUAAAAAGUCUGUUCUGGGGCAAUAGGGAGCCAUUGAAGGUGUCUGAGGACAGUAGCAUGAGAAGGCAUAGGCUUCUUUCUGUCUAAAAGAACUAGGGCAGUUCAAUACGAUGUUCCUAGUGCUAUAGGUUAUGACCAUGAAGGCAUUAGUCUCAUGGGCAUCACUGAUAAUUCUCCAAGUGGACAUGGAUGUUCCCUCUGCAAACUGGACAGAGAGAGCCAGGGGCUCACCCUUGUGAGCUGCUCAGUUCUACCUGGGGUUAACUUACAUCUCUUUUCGGCCGCUGCUGCCACAAUCCACUGCCGUCUGGACACUAGUAAGAGGCACAAGAAAGAGUGUGUUAUCCUCGUGCUGCCAGGGGCUUGGAAGCAUGGUUAUUGACGUUAGACAGACAUGAGUGUGAAUCCCACUUCCAACCUUUGCCCCUGUGUGAUCUCAGGGAAGUCACUUGCCUUCCCUGAGCUUCCUUUCUUCCUUCCUAAAAUGUGGCAAAUAAUGGGGCUCUGUUGUGGAGCAGAGUAAGUGAGAUAACCCUUGUGAAGAUCUCAGCAUGGUUCCUGGCAAAUAGAUAGUGCUAAUUAAGUGGUAGCAACCAUUACCGCUACUCUUGUUUUAGUACAACUAGUACUGCUAUUAUUAAUAGCAUUGUUAUUGCUAACAAGCAAGGUAUUAGCUGUAUGUUCUUUGUGAGUGCUAGCAAAUCAGACAUGGAGCAGGGCAGCUUCCCAGGGCAUUGUGGGAAACUCCAAUACUAAUUACGAUGGUAGCUGUUCUUUAGAGAGCAUCCCUCCAUUCAACAAAUAUGCUACCCACACAAUCUCAUCUACCUACCCCAUGUGUCUCCAUUUUAGAGAUUAGGAACCUGACAUACUUGUCUAAGUCACACAGCUUUUGAUCCCAGGCCUGUUAAGCUCA